rnacentral:rRNA from 1 species
UAAGGAAUAUUGGACAAUGGGCGCAAGCCUGAUCCAGCCAUGCCGCGUGCAGGAUGAAAGUGCUAUGCACUGUAAACUGCUUUUGUUUGGGAAAAAACCCCUGGUUUCUACCGGGGCUGAUUGUACCAAAAGAAUAAGGGACGGCUAACUUCGUGCCAGCAGCCGCGGUAAUACGAAGGUCCCAAGCGUUAUCCGGAUUUAUUGGGUUUAAAGGGUGCGUAGGCGGGCUAUUAAGUCAGUGGUGAAAGCCCCAAGCUUAACUUGGGAACUGCCAUUGAUACUGAUGGUCUUGAGUACAUUUGAGGUGGGCGGAAUGUGUCAUGUAGCGGUGAAAUGCUUAGAUAUGACACAGAACACCGAUUGCGAAGGCAGCUCACUAAACUGUAACUGACGCUGAGGCACGAAAGCGUGGGGAGCAAACAG